rnacentral:lncRNA from 1 species
GUGUAAAUGUGGGCAUACCUGGAGCAGGAAUCCGUGCUCGUUGGCGUUGAGGUGCCAGUGAGGAGCUCGCAGCCCCUGGCUCCGCAUCCUCAGGGUUGCCAAGGUUAUUUGGGAUCGCUGGGAAUGGAGGCUUUGAGCCAAUUCCCGAAUUUCCGGAGUUCCGUAUUCCCGGGGAUCCCGGCGGAACCCAAAUGGGGAAAAAUUGGGAGAAAUCCUGGCCAAAAUUGGGGAAUUUUGGGGGGAAAAAAUAGGGGAAAAAUUGGGAAAAAUCAUGGGAAAAAUAGGGGAAAAAUCAGGGAAAAAAUCAGAAAAAAAUGGAGAAAAAUCAGAAAAAAAUCAGGGAAAAAAUCAGAAAAAAAUGGAGAAAAAUCAGAAAAAAAUCAGAAAAAAAUCGGAAAAAAAUUCCGGGAAAAUCGGGAAAAAAAUCAGAAAAAAAUCAGAAAAAAAUGGAGAAAAAUCAGAAAAAAAUCAGGAAAAAAAUCGGAAAAAAAUUCCGGGAAAAUCAGGAAAAAAUCAGGAAAAAAAUCGGAAAAAAUGGAGAAAAAUCAGAAAAAAAUCAGGAAAAAAAUCGGAAAAAAAUGGGAAAAAAAUCAGAAAAAAAUCAGAAAAAAAUUCAAAAAAAAUCCAAAAAAAAUUCAAAAAAAAUCAGAAAAAAAUCCGAAAAAAAUCAGAAAAAAAUCCCCAAAAAAUGAGAAAUAUUUGGGAGAAUUGUGGCUAAAUUUUGGAGCAAUGUGUGAAUUUGGGGUGUAAAUGUGGGCAUACCUGGAGCAGGAAUCCGUGCUCGUUGGCGUUGAGGUGCCAGUGAGGAGCUCGCAGCCCCUGGCUCCGCAUCCUCAGGGUUGCCAAGGUUAUUUGGGAUCGCUGGGAAUGGAGGCUUUGAGCCAAUUCCCGAAUUUCCGGAGUUCCGUAUUCCCGGGGAUCCCGGCGGAACCCAAAUGGGGAAAAAUUGGGAUAAAUCCUGGCGAAAAUUGGGGAAUUUUGGGGGGAAAAAAUAGGGAAAAAUUGGGAAAAAUCAUGGGAAAAAUAGGGGAAAAAUCAGGGAAAAAAUCGGAAAAA